UAGGGAAUCUUCGGCAAUGGGGGGAACCCUGACCGAGCAACGCCGCGUGCGUGAAGAAGGCUUUCGGAUCGUAAAGCUCUGUUGUUAAGGAAGAACGAGUGUGAGAAUGGAAAGUUCAUACUGUGACGGUACUUAACCAGAAAGGGACGGCUAACUACGUGCCAGCAGCCGCGGUAAUACGUAGGUCCCGAGCGUUGUCCGGAUUUAUUGGGCGUAAAGCGAGCGCAGGCGGUUAGAUAAGUCUGAAGUUAAAGGCAGUGGCUCAACCAUUGUAGGCUUUGGAAACUGUGUAACUUGAGUGCAGAAGGGGAGAGUGGAAUUCCAUGGGUAGCGGUGAAAUGCGUAGAUAUAUGGAGAAACACCGGUGGCGAAAGCGGCUCUCUGGUCUGUAACUGACGCUGAGGCUCGAAAGCGUGGGGAGCGAACAGG
rnacentral:rRNA from 1 species